rnacentral:rRNA from 1 species
GUAGGUACGUAUCGGAUUUACUGGGCGUAAGCGCGCGUAGGUGGUUAAUUAAGUCAAAUGUGAAAUCCCCGAGCUUAACUUGGGAAUUGCAUUCGAUACUGGUUAGCUAGAGUAUGGGAGAGGAUGGUAGAAUUCCAGGUGUAGCGGUGAAAUGCGUAGAGAUCUGGAGGAAUACCGAUGGCGAAGGCAGCCAUCUGGCCUAAUACUGACACUGAGGUGCGAAAGCAUGGGGAGCAAACAGGAUUAGAUACCCUGGUAGUCCAUGCCGUAAACGAUGUCUACUAGCCGUUGGGGGAUUUGAUCCUUUAGUGGCGCAGCUAACGCGAUAAGUAGACCGCCUGGGGAGUACGGUCGCAAGACUAAAACUCAAAUGAAUUGACGGGGGCCCGCACAAGCGGUGGAGCAUGUGGUUUAAUUCGAUGCAACGCGAAGAACCUUACCUGGCCUUGACAUAGUAGAGACUUUCCAGAGAUGGAUUGGUGCCUUCGGGAAUCUACAUACAGGUGCUGCAUGGCUGUCGUCAGCUCGUGUCGUGAGAUGUUGGGUUAAGUCCCGCAACGAGCGCAACCCUUUUCCUUACUUGCCAGCAUUUCGGAUGGGAACUUUAAGGAUACUGCCAGUGACAAACUGGAGGAAGGCGGGGACGACGUCAAGUCAUCAUGGCCCUUACGGCCAGGGCUACACACGUGCUACAAUGGUCGGUACAAAGGGUUGCUACACAGCGAUGUGAUGCUAAUCUCAAAAAGCCGAUCGUAGUCCGGAUCGCAGUCUGCAACUCGACUGCGUGAAGUCGGAUCGCUAGUAAUCGCGGAUCAGAAUGCCGCGGUGAAUACGUUCCCGGGCCUUGUACACACCGCCCGUCACACCAUGGGAGUUUGUUGCACCAGAGUAGUAGUCUAACCGCAGGAGACGCUUACCACGGUGUGGCCGAUGACUGGGGUGAGUCUCGAAAAGAGACACUACAAUAAAA